rnacentral:rRNA from 1 species
CCUACGGGAGGCAGCAGUGGGGAAUAUUGGGCAAUGGGCGCAAGCCUGACCCAGCAACGCCGCGUGAAGGAAGAAGGCUUUCGGGUUGUAAACUUCUUUUCUGAGGGACGAAGAAAGUGACGGUACCUCAGGAAUAAGCCACGGCUAACUACGUGCCAGCAGCCGCGGUAAUACGUAGGUGGCAGGCGUUCUCCGGAUUUAUUGGGUGUAAAGGGCGUGUAGGCGGGAAAGCAAGUCAGAUGUGAAAACUCAGGGCUCAACCCUGAGCCUGCAUUUGGAACUGUUUUUCUUGAGUGCUCGGGAGGCAAUCGGAAUUCCGUGUGUAGCGGUGAAAUGCGUAGAUAUACGGAGGAACACCAGUGGCGAAGGCGGAUUGCUGGACAGUAACUGACGCUGAGGCGCGAAAGCGUGGGGAGCAAACAGGAUUAGAUACCCGGGUAGUC